UGCGUAGGUGGUUGCGUGUGUUGAAUGUGAAAGCCCACUGCUCAACGGUGGAAUUGCAUUCAAAACUGCGUAACUGGAGUACAGGAUGGGAGAGCGGAAUUCUUGGUGUAGCGGUGAAAUGCGUUGAUAUCAAGAAGAACACCGGUGGCGAAAGCGGCUCUCUGGAAUGUUACUGACACUGAGGCACGAAAGCUGGGGGAGCAAACA
rnacentral:rRNA from 1 species